rnacentral:sRNA from 1 species
GGUUCAGAGGUUUAGUUCAUUAUCAUCAUGGCAUGAAACAUGUCAGGAUUCAGGUAGGCAUGGCACUGGAGGAGCUGAGAGUUCUACAUCUUGUACAGAAGGCAAACAGAAGAGUGGCUCCCUUAUGGCUAGGAGGAGAAUUUCCAAACCCACUCUCACAGUGAUGCACUUCUUCCAACAGGACCACACCCACACCAACAAGGCCAACACCUCCUAAUUGUUUGGCCAUUCCCUAGGAGAAACAUAUUCAAAUCAACACAGUCAUUAAUGAUCCAGGACAACAUUUCAGUUUGGACAUGAAACAUCCCUUACACGAUCAAAUGUGGAGCACUUGAUCCUCAGCUGGAAGACGUAUGUCACUGGGGCCAUGCAUUUGAAGGUUAUUUCUGACUCAUUCUUUUCUUUUCUCCACUUUCUAUUCACAAUGAAGCAAACAAUAUCUGUACACACUCCCACUGCCAUUAUAUUCCAUUCAUUAUGGGCUCAGAAUCAAUGGAACCAAGGACUACAAACUGAGGUCCCUGAGGACCACAAUAAAGAGUUCCUUUCUUGAAGCUGUUUUCUUUUAGACAUUUGGAUAGAGCCAUUAUAAAACUAACGUGGCACCAUGAAAGGGCACCGUUACUUUUCUCACUACUGUAACAAAACAUCUGACAAAAGCCACUUAAGGCAGGGCGGGUUUGUUUUGGCUCAUUGAAGAUACAACCUAUUGGUGUGAGGAAGGCAAGGCAGCAUAUGCAUGAGGUGACUGGUCACUUUCUGUCUAUAGUUAAGUAGCAGAGAGACAUGAAUGCUAGUACACAUUCAAGCUUUCUCCUUUUAUCAAGUCUAGGAUCUCAGGCUAUGGGAUGGUACUGCCCACAUUCAAGGUUAAUGCUUUCCCUUCUCAGUAAACCUCUGAUGAAACACUAUCAGAGACACAUCCAGAGGUAUGUCUUCUAAAUCUAAUCAACCUGACAAUCAAGCUUAAACAUCACACAUGGAGAUUGCUCUUCACCAUUGUGUGUUAUAGCUGAAACUGGGGUCCCCCCCCCCGGCAACUUCUCUUGUCUUCUCUCUUGGCUAGAAUGAUUAUAAAUCUGGGCUCAUUUGAAAUGCAAAGUCUAGUUAGUGUCACGUGGUGUCUCUACACAUGCUUGUCAACUUUCUUCUGCUGCACAGUGAUCAGACCGCUGGUGAAAACCAGUUAUAGCGCAGCUCAAUCCUAACAUUCAGGGGAAGGCUCUAACCCCAAGUGUUUGUAUAGGGCAUGCAGUCACUGGGGCCAUCUUUAGAGACCCACCACAGUUACAUUCUUUCAUGGUCACAGCGAUCAAAAACAAAUCUUGCAUGCCUUUGUUUAACUUAUGAAGAACUUUCUGAAGUGUUACCACAAUGAGCAUGAUUGACAAACAUGAUUAAUGACUAUGACAGUCAGGGGCAGCCAUAAUGGAAGAAACCAUGGAUGAUCAAUGACCUCUGAGAUGCUGUAAGGCCUGUUGGAGAUAUCUCUUCCCAGGGACAGAGUGACAAAGGCCUUUUGGAAGAAAGGAGCAGGAAGUGGAGAAUGUCUAAGCCCCAACUCUGGCUGCCCAAAGGGUCUUCUAUAACAAAAUGUUGAAACCCAGUGAAAGAAGAGGAGCCUGGUGAUAUGAAGGGAGCUUGAGCAAAAUUUGGAUAGGCUGAUCAUGUGACUUGCUCACAAGAGCAGGAGGCAGCAAAUGGAGACCUUUAAAGAAAACCAUCACUGAAUACAAUGCAGAGAUCAAUGAGUCACGAGGAGUACAGCCCCACGGAUACAUCUAUAUCACAGGCUCAUGGAACAUUGCAGAAAAGUGGGUGGAAAUAGAAUAAGAGCAAGAACACCAGUGAGGUCGCUGUGAAACCGUCUCUCCUAGGAAGGGCUGCAUAAACAACACUGGAAAUAAUAGCAAUAUCAAAGGGCAUGUUAACACGGAAGGCUGAAAUUUCACGUGGUCCUUCUCCUAGACAAAGUACUACAGACAUUAAAACGAUUGCUCAGAAGCAGAGAACGAUUUCCAGGAUGCAGAGUUGGUAAAUCUAGUGCCCAAAACAACACUGACAGACAUUACAGAUCCAAAUGAAAUGCGCUCCAGUUGUAACUACAUUUCAUCAAGGUAAAGAGCACUCAUAUACUGGUAUGGAAAAAUUAGGGGAUUGUCUUUGAGGGUGGCUCAGUUUUCCUGGCCUUGGGUGGGCCUUUGCUUCAGGAGUUGGGGAACUAGAUGCUCACAGUCACACAGAGCUUUCACUGAGUCAGUGACCUUUAGAGUUUUGCCAAUUUGAAGAAUGAAAGUCAUCAACCACAAAGGAGUUCAGAGGGAACUCUUUAUAGAUUCAUAGGUGGGAGCCAAAGAGAGAGAAAGGGCAGCGCUCAUGCAUAGCAGGAGAGGUCCCAAAAAUCAGGACAUGGUAGAAUGGCUAGUCUGGGGUCUUUUUCAGGGCAUAUGACAGAAACUGGGCUGAGUUAUGGGGCUAAGGAUGAGCUAGUCAGUCUAGCUGGCUCCAGGUGUCCAGGUGUCUCUGUUCAGUCUGUCAAGUCUUCCGGUACACCUUCCAGGUAAGGGUGAGAGAUAACAAGAGAACAUAACCCAGAACUCUCUCCUGCCAUUCCUGGCCUCCACCAAGGACAUUCUCAGAACUGCUGCCUUGGGCUCAGCAUCCGACAUGGACGGCUCCUACCUCCAGCCCUCAUCGUAACCAAAGACUUCACCACAGAAUUUCAAAUUAUUGUCUUUAUUAUCUCCACUUUACAGGGUCAUUUGUGUUCCACACUUGUACCUUUGCAGAGAAAAACAAUCAAAAUGGGUGGAAAAUAAAACCGAUUAGGUCUGAGAUGCAUCGCUGUCAGAUUGUUAUUCCUGAACCUGUGCUCAUUGCACUGGGCUCUCACUGAGCACUCACACACUUGCUGACUGGUAAGGACUUGCUCCUCACUCAGUGUCCAUCUCUCGGAUGCCAAGACAAUUGACUUAGUCAGAGUUAGUGUUUUGAUGCCCUGCCACAGAGGCUUUGGAUGUAGCAAGGGCUCAGCAAAUAUUUGUAGAAAGAAUAAAGAAAGAACUGAAUGAAAGCCCAGAUAAAAGAAACAAAUGCUAUCCAGGCCACAGGAGAACCCUGCCUGGUACUCUCCUGGCUUUGCAGUUUCCCAUCAGCUAACCUUGCUUUUCUCUUCCUAUCAGUGCAGUCCCUACCCCAGGGUAUAGUCACACAGAGCUGUCUAGGAUCCCUCGAGAAUGAAGGGAUCUAAUUUUCAAGGUGUCGUUUCUUGCUGCAUCAGAGGCUGAGCAGCUGAUGAAUUCUCCAAGAACAUUUCCUAUUUUCCUUCCUGAGUGCACUGGAGAGGUAAGCUGGGCUGGUCACUCUGUCUUCCUUAUCUGUAAUGGCGUGGUUAAACAUCAUUGGUCUGACCAGUUAAGGAUGAAGGGCAGGCUGUGGAGAGAGAAAGCCUGAUUCAUGAAACACAUCAUUUAUCUUCCCUAACUUCUCCUUACUAGGUGGUAGCAAUGGUUCAGAGAUUAGCAGCUAUUUCCAAGAUAAGUGCUGGUGGAUGCCCCUCCUUAGGAUUUACAUUACCAGAAGGUGGAGGUUUCUGGGCUCUGCUGAGGUCCUUUAAAAGUAAAGUCAUGAUCCUCCGUCUCAAAAGAAUAGACUCUAAAUUCUACCUAUGGCCCUGAUAGUCUAAACUACUCAAAAUGUUACACAUUACUGGCUCCUUUAAGGAGAGUGGCUUUCAAACUUCCUAAGGCUGUGAC